rnacentral:rRNA from 2 species
CACACCCGUUCCCAUGCCGAACACGGAAGUUAAGCUUCUCAGCGCCGAUGGUAGUUGGGGGUUUCCCCCUGUGAGAGUAGGACGUUGCCAGGC